rnacentral:misc_RNA from 1 species
CUGUUUACGAAAUUUUGAAGCUGCCCGCGAGAUAUUUGCGUCGUGGCCUCGUGGCAAAAUAUGUUAGUAGUUAGUACCGCCAAAAGGAAAACUUCAGUUCCGGUUACCUGAGUUUUGUCUUAAGAUCUGGAUUAAAUAAUCUUUAUUAUGAACUUUUCCCCAUACAAAAUACUUUUCUUAGUAACCAUUGUGUUCUUGUGGAUUGCAGCCCUUAAUCUUCGAGCAAUCAAAGGUUCAGUACAGCUGCGGGAAAGACUUGAAGUUCCUAACCCUGACAGUGUCUUAUUUCAGCUUUUCACUCGGAAAAAUCCUGAUACAGCACAAUUUCUUCAAGUAGGAAACAUUCUUCUGCUGGAACAGUCAAACUAUAACAAUAGCCUGCCAACCAAAAUGUUUGUUCAUGGUUAUGGUGCUGUUCCUAGUCAGGGCUAUUCUGCUAAAGAUGCAUACUUGUUGCGAGAGGACUGCAACUUUAUUUCAGUAGACUGGACCACCCUUGGUUCCAGUAAUUAUGUAUUAGUUGCAGUAAACAAUAUCCCUAUAGCUGGGUCUACAACUGGUGCCUUUGUAGAUUUUCUUUUUAGCCAAGGAACACCACUGGAUGCUUUUCAUCUUAUUGGAUUUAGCAUGGGGGCCCAUAUUGUUGGUCAUGCUGGAGCCCAUAUGACAUCCACGGGACUCCUACCGAGAAUCACUGGUUUGGAUCCGGCAGAGUACUGUUUUCCUCUAGAACUAACCAACAACCGUCUUGACACAAGUGAUGCAUCUUUCGUAGAUGUCAUUCACACUAGCGAUAUUGCCUAUAGAAAAGCUGCAGGACAUGCGGAUUUUUAUGCCAAUGGUGGCAUCCUUCAACCCGGAUGCUCAUCACGCAUUCCCGACACUGAAUGUUGCAGUCAUUGCCGUGUCGUUGACCUGUUUGCAGAAUCCAUCAACAGCCCAUUAGGUUUCAAGGCGUUCCGCUGUGAUUCUUGGGAGAAUUUCCAGGUUGGCCUUUGUAACAAUAGCACACAGUCGUUCAUGGGAGAGCCAACUUCAUCAAGUUUCUGUUGAGUUGCAACACUUGUUUGGAAUCCCAGACUUCUAAGAAACAGGAUGAAAUGUUUGUAUUACACAACACUUGUACCUCUGUGUAUGAUAGCCUUUCACCUUCACACACUUAAAGGUUCGAUAGAUUUAAAAGCUGGUCCCGAAACCGUCCUUUUCGAAUUGUUUACACGGAACAAUCCGGACGUAGCACAAAUUCUUCAAGUGGAUGACAAUGCCCUCCUGGAACAGUCGAAUUACAAUAGCAGUCUUCCAACUAAAAUUUUUGCACACGGAUGGGUUGGAUUUCCAGAUCAAGGCUAUUCUU